GACGAACGCUGGCGGCGUGCCUAAUACAUGCAAGUCGAGCGAAUGGAUUAAGAGCUUGCUCUUAUGAAGUUAGCGGCGGACGGGUGAGUAACACGUGGGUAACCUGCCCAUAAGACUGGGAUAACUCCGGGAAACCGGGGCUAAUACCGGAUAACAUUUUGAACCGCAUGGUUCGAAAUUGAAAGGCGGCUUCGGCUGUCACUUAUGGAUGGACCCGCGUCGCAUUAGCUAGUUGGUGAGGUAACGGCUCACCAAGGCAACGAUGCGUAGCCGACCAGAGAGGGUGAUCGGCCACACUGGGACUGAGACACGGCCCAGACUCCUACGGGAGGCAGCAGUAGGGAAUCUUCCGCAAUGGGCGAAAGUCUGACGGAGCAACGCCGCGUGAGUGAUGAAGGCUUUCGGGUCGUAAAACUCUGUUGUUAGGGAAGAACAAGUGCUAGUUGAAUAAGCUGGCACCUUGACGGUACCUAACCAGAAAGCCACGGCUAACUACGUGCCAGCCGCCGCCGCGG
rnacentral:rRNA from 1 species